AAAUAGAAAAUGGGGCGAAAUCUCCUGGGAAAACGCCCGCGGGGGAGGCUUGCCCGCACGCAGGUGCAGCGCACAGCUCGUUCGCACGGAUGCAACAUGUUGUGCGCAUGCGUGCUCGCGUGACCAGCACAGGACCUACACACUGUAUACACGUCCCAUCCUGCGGGGCACGGGGUCGGUAUGCGCGCACAUCCCAUCGAGCACAGACAGGCCACUUUGCACGCGUAUUACAUUGCGCGCAGACAGGGCCGGGGCACAGUGCGCCCUGUGUGCACGUUGUCCGCAUGGUAGGCCUACCGGCAGUACGCUACGCGUGCGCAGCUAGCUCAUAUGCAUGGUAGGAUAGACUAAAGCCUCCAGGCUAGGUUUGCAGCGCACGGCCGGCCUAAUGAGGCGCACUGCCGCCUGGGGCAGUAUGCCACUACACUUUUGGGCGUUGUGUGCUGCCUUUGGCGGUGUGCCACUAUCUUGGGUGGAGGAUUCUUCCUACAUUUUUUGCGUUGUCGUUGCGUCGGGUCAAAUCACUCAUCUUCCGCUCAACUUUCUCUUUCCUCAUCGAAUUUUGUCACUUGGCACAAAUCCAACGGUCCCCAUUUUCUAUAAAUAGGGACCCGUUUCGUCUAUUUUUCUCAUCACUUCUAUUUC
rnacentral:lncRNA from 1 species